CGGACAAGCAGAGAAUUUUAGGUAGAAAAUGUACCUAAUCGCCUAUACAGAGCUGGUUGCAACGAAAUCGAAACGCUGAACCAUAUACUAGAUACACUAGAUACUAUAUACUAGAUAUUUACACAAGAGUGGCCAGGCACAAAGCUAUUGCAAUAUUUUCAGUUAUCGAAAGGAUUCUGAAAACAGAACUUGAUGGCAAAGCUAAGAAGAACUGCGUUGGUUAUAGACGGGCAAAACUGGAAGAUGCUAUUAUGAGAUACAACGCCACAGAAGUCAAAUUCACAUCUGCUUCCAUACUUUGUCGGGGAAUAUGAAACAGAAAGCAGUAACAGAAUUAACCAGUAUGGAAAUAGAAAGAAGGAAUUGAUUAUUCUGUCAUCUCGAGCCCUAAUUGGUGAACUUAAUGCAUUCUGUAUCUUUAACAAAUCUAUACUCAAAAGGAGAACGGGUGUAGGUUGAAUUGGACCUUGAUACUCGAUCUAGUUAUGUAUUACCUGUAAACAGGUAUAAUGAUAUGCUUACUAAUACAUAGUAAGAUGGACAAACAAGAAAGAAACAAAAAAGAAAACAAAAUGUCGUAAUGGACGUGUGUAGUACGUGCUUGUUGAAUAAAAUUAAUACUCGUUGAUCAAUUUUUAUUUACGAAAUCCUUCUAGAAGGAAACCUACCAAGGAUAUGAAAUAAGAAAAAUGUACCGUUGCAGAAAGAUACAAAAUUAAUUUUAUAAUACCCUUUAUUUUAUACCG
rnacentral:misc_RNA from 1 species